rnacentral:rRNA from 1 species
GAUGAACGCUAGCGGCAGGCUUAACACAUGCAAGUCGAGGGGCAGCGUGAUGAAGUAGCAAUACGGAUUUGACGGCGACCGGCGCACGGGUGCGUAACGCGUAUGUAACCUACCUUUAACAGGGGGAUAACACUGAGAAAUUGGUACUAAUACCCCAUAACACUUUGAGAGGCAUCUCUUAGAGUUGAAAGUUCCGGCGGUUAAAGAUGGACAUGCGUUGUAUUAGCUAGAUGGUGAGGUAACGGCUCACCAUGGCGACGAUACAUAGGGGGACUGAGAGGUUAACCCCCCACACUGGUACUGGGACACGGACCAGACUCCUACGGGAGGCAGCAGUGAGGAAUAUUGGUCAAUGGACGCAAGUCUGAACCAGCCAUGCCGCGUGCAGGAAGACGGCUCUAUGAGUUGUAAACUGCUUUUGUACAAGGGUAAACCUCGGUACGUGUACCGAGCUGAAAGUACUGCACGAAUAAGGAUCGGCUAACUCCGUGCCAGCCGCCGCAGUAACAC